rnacentral:misc_RNA from 1 species
CAGAGAACUUGCCCUUCGGGGUAGAUCUCCCACCCUUUGCUUACAUUACCAUUGUUGCUUUGGCAGGCCCGCCUCACGGCCGCCGGCUCCGGCUGGUCAGCGCCUGCCAGAGGAUUUUAAACUCUUGUUUAAUUGUCGUCUGAGUACCAUAUAAUAGUUA